CCUACGGGGGGCUGCAGUAAGGAAUAUUGGUCAAUGGACGCAAGUCUGACCCAGCCAUGCCGCGUGGAGGAUGAAGGUCCUCUGGAUUGUAAACUUCUUUUAUUUGGGAAGAAACUCCCGAUUUCCAUCGGGAUUGACGGUACCAGAUGAAUAAGCACCGGCUAACUCCGUGCCAGCAGCCGCGGUCAUACGGAGGGUGCGGGCGUUAUCCGGAUUCACUGGGUUUAGGGGGUGAGUUAAUGCGCAGGUGAAAUCUCCGGGCUUAACCCGGAAACUGCCAUUGAUACUAUGUGUCUUGAAUACUCUGGAGGUGAGCGGAAUAUGUCAUGUAGCGGUGAAAUGCUUAGAUAUGACAUAGAACACCCAUUGCGAAGGCAGCUCACUACGGAAAUAUUGACGCUGAGGCACGAAAGCGUGGGGAUCAAACAGGAUUAGAUACCCGGGUAGUC
rnacentral:rRNA from 1 species